rnacentral:rRNA from 1 species
AUGGCAACCGACGAGGGUGGCAAGCGCACAAAAUUCCAGUGCCUCAUCAUCGCGCGCUUCACGGUAGCAAUCGUGGUGGCUGUGCUCGCCUUUGCUAGUAUCGUGGUGGUGCUCACUGCCGGCCUCCGCCGCGAGGACAUCAGCCUCUCUUUCACCCACGGCCAUAUCCAGGCAGCUCAGGUUCUGUGGUUGAAGAACGAGACGUAUCUCACCCACUAUCGUGGGAAAAUGGAUGAGAUUUUCACAAUCUACGAACCAGCGGUGCGUGUGGACUUAUGGGUCAGCAUGGAUGCCCACAUCCCCACCCGCCGCGCCAACACGACCUGCAACAUCACCACCGUCCUCGUCUUCGACAUGCCCAACGCGCCCACCUUCACGGGGUUGACGCAGAUCGCCUUGAUCAAGAUCAACAAGGCGUUGCGGAAGCAAUCACUGGACAGGUGGAUCCCCAUGACGGACAAAAACACGCUAUCAUACAUCGCGAGGACCUACGGAGGGAUGAGCGAGUUCACGGCCAUGUUGCAGGUAAACAUGACAAUCUCCUCGGGAGUGGGAAGAACGCCGACGAACUCAACACAGUAUUGCUGGCCGGUGACCAUUGGCCACAGCCGAAGCACCACAGUCAAAAAGGUCACGUGCAAGCCGAGCCACCACAUCGACUACGCUGCUGAUUCCGUGGCCCUGGCGCCGCCUCCGCCUCCCGGCCCUCCGAUGGUAAACCAUUAG